rnacentral:misc_RNA from 1 species
GAAAAGAGCCGGUACUUAUGUAUCGGCUCUUUUCUUUUAUGUUCCCCAAUAGGGGGGAUGAGAAUCCCCGACCGGGGUUCGACAACGGGCACAGCCCGUUGGACGGAAUGGCCGCAGGCCAUGACGCCCGCAGGGCGAGCGAAGCGAGUCAAUCCCCCCCUCACCGCCA